UAAUACGGAGGGUGCAAGCGUUAAUCGGAAUUACUGGGCGUAAAGCGCACGCAGGCGGUUUGUUAAGUCAGAUGUGAAAUCCCCGGGCUCAACCUGGGAACUGCAUUUGAAACUGGCAAGCUAGAGUCUCGUAGAGGGGGGUAGAAUUCCAGGUGUAGCGGUGAAAUGCGUAGAGAUCUGGAGGAAUACCGGUGGCGAAGGCGGCCCCCUGGACGAAGACUGACGCUCAGGUGCGAAAGCGUGGGGAGCAAACAGGAUUAGAUACCCUGGUAGUCCACGCUGUAAACGAUGUCGAUUUGGAGGUUGUGCCCUUGAGGCGUGGCUUCCGGAGCUAACGCGUUAAAUCGACCGUCUGGGGAGUACGGCCGCAAGGUUA
rnacentral:rRNA from 1 species